ensembl:lincRNA
AUUCGGAUGUGUCCACAGGUAUUAUUAGAGAACAGUUUUUGUGCGAUGAAAGUCAAAGAGGCUAACUUCUACAUAUUCAUUGUAGUACUGUGUGCCUAAAAAUGGAAAGCUCAUGACCUUUGCAGGUAGCGGGACCCGCGUUAUUUCUGCGGUUUCACCCUAAGUGUGAGCUUCAGUGUCUGUUGUUAUGGAGUAAAUGAGAAGCGUCUUCCAGUGACUCAUGUAUUGAGGGGUUGAUUCACAAUGCAGCAGUGUUCAGGGGUGGUGGAGCUUAGAGAAGGGAUCAGAUCACAAGGGCUCUACUUCAGUGGAUGAAAACAUAAUGUGAUAACAUUAUGAUGGAUGACAUUAUUAUUGGGGGGUGUGACAGAAACAGGAAGUAGACCUUAGCUGAAGGAGUGGAUUAUGGGACAUGACCUUGGGGACUAUACUUGGUCCCUAGCCCCUUCCUGUCUGCCAGGCUUUCCCUUUUUGUCUGCUUUCUGGUUGUCGUAAGUGAGCAGCUUUACUCCAGCGUGCUCUUCUGCCGUGAUGUUUCUGCCUGGCCACAGGCCUAAAAGCAAUCCAGCGGGAUGGCCAUGGACUGAAAUCUCUGAAACUGUGAGCCAAAACAAACCUAUCCUCCUUUAGGUACUGUAUGUCAGGUGUUUUGUCACAGUGACGGAAAGCUGACCAGUAUGUUUGGAAAAUGAGAUGAACAGUGCCCACCUUCUCUGACAUGAGCAUUUAGGCAAAGUAAAUGAAACAUAGCAGGCGCAGUGCUGGGGCACAGUAGGCCCUCAAUAAACUAUAGCUACUAUUGCUUCAGGGCACGAGAUGUGAACAUGUUUUCUGUUUUAUCUUUAGAGGGAAGGCUGGUGAAGAGUCGAAAGGACUAUGCCACAGAGUAAUCCCGUGGCGGGAAGAAAUGACCCACAACUUCUUAGUGAGAACUUGUGUGUCCCUGCACUUCGCACAGCACCAUCUCCUCUCUGGAAAUGUCAUUACAUCUGUGUGUUUAUGUGAUUUAAAGUCUUUGUACUGUGACUGCAAGCUCCGUGAGGUGGCAGUGUGUCAAGAGGACCCAUCAGGGGCCAGCAGAGAGCACAGUGCACACCUACGACUUCAGAAAACUACUGAUGCUUCAGCUGUCUGCAUGAGUCUUGGUACUGAUAUCUCGAAAGCUUCAGGAUGAAUCCCUAUGCGGUCCAGUCAUCUUUGAUCCUUUCCAAGGUCACUGCUGCCAGCCUCAGUUCUACCCAGUCACCCCCAAAAUAGGAACUAGAGUCAGAGAGUGUGCAGGGUAGAGCGAAAGUGUGUGGACAGAAUGCCCCGGGACAGAGGAGCUGUAAGAUAUAUGUGUAGGGUGUCAACGUGCUAUGUCUGAUGUAUGAUACUUCGCACGCCUCUUUUACUAUGUGUGUUUAUUUCUUCACUUGGCUCAGUGGUUCUGCCGCCUGCCUCAUAAGUGCAAGGUGCUGAGUUCGAUCCCCAGUAACCCCCCCCAAAAUAAUAAAUCUCUAAAGUGAAGAUUGGGUCAGCUGGGCACCGAAGUCCAUCACAGCUUCAGUAUUCAAUGACUCAGUGAAACUUUUCUAUUUAGUGAUAUUGGGCCUACAGCUGUCAUGAUUUGAACUUGAGCUCUGUGUGAAGAGACUGCUGCUGUUAUCAGUGUUUCUGACCUGUAAGCAAUAAAACCAACCAACAUCAUUCACAUAAACCCACAGAACUGACAAGAGGUAGGCAGGGCAGCAGUACCUCAGAAACAAGUAGAAUCCAGGAAAGGGACACAGUGAGAAACAGAGGCUGUAACCAUGACCCCUCAAGGCAUGGAUUCUGCAGGACCUCUGACUUCCCUGAGAAUCUUACAGGGAGGACUCGAGGCUUCCACUCAUGGACUCAUGGCAGAGCCAGGGGAGAAGCUCUCAAAACAUGGAUUGGCUGCUUGUAGUCACCCUCCCAACAAAAAACUACACAAAACAAGCACACACAAAACAUAACUGGAAACUACUAGGAAGGGUAAUUCAUGCUGGGCCCAAAACUCCACAGUACCUAUUAUUAGAGCAAGAGCCUAAGACUAUUGGCAAUGCCAAUAAGUCUAGUCCCUGGGCAGAGUUUCUAAAGAUAGGCAAGGAGUAUAUAAAUUGAAGCACCCAUUCAAAACAUUCUGGCCUAGAAAACAUUCAGUUUUGCUGAAAGAAAUGUUAGUACUGUCAUAAUCUACAACAAAUCAAC